rnacentral:rRNA from 1 species
UACGGGGGGAGCAAGCGUUGUUCGGAUUUACUGGGCGUAAAGGGCGCGUAGGCGGCCACCGCAAGUCGACUGUGAAAUCUCCGGGCUUAACCCGGAAAGGUCAGCCGAUACUGCGGGGCUAGAGUGCAGAAGGGGCAACUGGAAUUCUCGGUGUAGCGGUGAAAUGCGCAGAUAUCAGGUGGAACACCCGUAGCGAAGGCGGCACUCUGGGCCGGAACUGACGCUGAGGAGCGAAAGCGUGGGGAGCGAACAGG